rnacentral:rRNA from 1 species
UACGUAGGGGGCAAGCGUUGUCCGGAAUCAUUGGGCGUAAAGAGCGUGUAGGCGGCCCGGUCAGUCCGUCGUGAAAGUCAAAAGGCUCAACCUUUGAAUGUCGAUGGAUACUGCCGGGCUAGAGUCCGGAAGAGGCGAGUGGAAUUCCUGGUGUAGCGGUGGAAUGCGCAGAUAUCAGGAGGAACACCAAUAGCGAAGGCAGCUCGCUGGGACGGUACUGACGCUAAGGCGCGAAAGCGUGGGGAGCGAACAGG